AAAAAAAAAAAUUUCUUUUUUUUAAUACAUAUACAUAUAUGUUUUGUCCGAUGAUACAUGACCUACUGAGGAGACCCCAUCCCUUACGGAAUUCGGCCUAGUAAGGGUGGUUGCGCAUGCGUAUUACGAAGUUCAUUGCACCUAUGCUCUUAAAGAUAAAUGAAUUAUUUGUUCUGAUAAAAUAUAGUGAGAGAAAUUCGAUGAUAUUGAUUGCCGAGAUUUAAUUUAAAUUCCAUGUUUCAGGUUUUUUAUUCGAUCUGUCAGGAAUUUUAGAUUCGAGAUAUCGUUUCUGUUGAAUUUAUUUUUUUUUUUUUAUGAUAUAAUAGAUAUAUUUUUAUUAAAAAAUAGAAAGAUGCAACGAAUUUAUAAACUUUUUUAUUAUUCGACCGAAAAUUAAAUUAAAAUAAUAUUUAAUCAAGUCUGAUUGUCUGUUGCUUACUCAAAAGAUUAAGGAAGGAAUUUAGAAUCGAUUACAAAGCUCAUGUCAGAGAUAUUUCAUGACACUUAUUGGAGAAUAAUCCCAAUGAAUAAUUAGAAUGCAGAGCGUGAAAGAAUAGCUGUUCACAGGUAAAUCGUGAUGUGAUUUUGACAUUCGAAAUUGUUGAUUUUUAAUAAUUAAAUUAUUCUUUAAUAUUUCUAAUCUUCUUAAGAAUUUUUCUUUUUAGAAUUUUAUAUGAGAAUUUUAUCUCUAAUACUUGAAAGUAAAAUGAUAUAAUCUUUUUUAAUUAAUCGAAUUCUUUUCCGAUAAGUAAAAAUUACAAAAACCAUAAAAUUUCAAUUUCAAUAUAAUCCUCCAAAAUAAUAGGAUCAUCUUUAUAAUCAUAAAUCUUCGUUUCCUAUCUAAUCUUUGAAUCUUUAUGUUCUAUCUACCAAAUGAUUAUUCUACACGUAUAUUUAUUAUUUCUUUACUCCAAUAUUUAUUACAAUAUCAAAUCUUUACGUAAAUAAAAUGCAAAAUCUUCUUCAAAUCAUAUUCAAUCCAAUCGCGUUUCGUUAUCAUAAAAAUUUUUUUAUCAAUUUAAUGAAAGUAUCAAAAAAAAUUUCCCGAUUUCUUCACUUUUAUCUUAAAAUUUGUUCUUUCAGAUUCAAACAACACAAUAAAUAAGAUUAAGAAAAUUCUUCUCGAUCGUGCAGAGUUUAAAAUCGAGUCAUCUUUAAGUAACAAAAAGAAAAAAAAAAAAAAGAAAAAAAAAGGAAAAAGAUUGCUAAACGGCAAUUUCAUCGUGAACGGAAAUGACAAAUCGUAGAUACGUCAAGGAAAGAAUUUGCAAGAAGAUUAUCGCGAUUUCGAUACGGUCGAAGAUUGUUUCCUUUCGUCACACCUGAGCAUACGCCGCGUUUCCAUCGAAUUCGCCUCGGAGGGAACCGUGUUCGAAGCAACAGCUGCCGACCGAUCCCUUCCUCCGAGAAUUAAAACGAGACCCAGUUGCCAAAGAAGGGAGCGUCCCUCGACGAAACCCACCGGCCAUGGUACACUUAUCCUUUCGCCUCGAAUCACCUUUAUAACCAUCCUAAUAUCUCUAGGUUGGCCACAUGAUACACGCCGAGGAAUCACUAGUCUAUUCUUGUACGUUGUACUCUUUCAUAACAUCGAACAGUAGUAUGACACGUAGUUUACGCAAGUUCAUUCAUGAUGUUUGGGUUAAAUUAGUUUUACUGUAAAUGUUUGGAUGAUACGGUAAGGAAAAUAAUUUUUGAAAUAUAUAUUUUUACCGUUUAUUGUAUUAGGCGAAUAUUUUAUAAAAAUUGCAUCUUAAAAUUAUUUGGAAAAAUAUAAAAGCAUCAGUAUAUUGCAUCAUAAAAAUAUAUUCGCUGCGUUUAUCUUCAACGCAUAUUAAAAGUGAAAUCGUAUCAUCGUUAAAUAGAAAAAAAAAAACACUUUACUGAAAUAAUGGAAAGAAAAGAGGCAAUCUCAAUUUUCCUAAUUAGUAAUUGAUAAAAAAACUGGAACAGAAUCGUGUCAUCAUCGAAUAUAGUAUUCAUACGACGGAAAAUAACUGGAUUCUCAAAAAGAAAAAAGAAA